rnacentral:rRNA from 1 species
GAUGAACGCUGGCGGCGUGCCUAACACAUGCAAGUCGAACGGUGCCAGGAGGCGGAAGGGAACGGUUUACCGGCCCCGGAGGCGCUUGGCAUAGUGGCGGACGGGUGAGUAACGCGUGGGCAACCUGCCCUUUGCCGGGGGAUAACACUUAGAAAUAGGUGCUAAUACCGCAUAAGCCUCCAUGGCCGCAUGGCCGUGUAGGGAAAGCGCAUACGGCAAAGGAUGGGCCCGCGUCUGAUUAGCUGGUUGGCGGGGUAACGGCCCACCAAGGCGACGAUCAGUAGCCGGCCUGAGAGGGCGGACGGCCACAUUGGGACUGAGACACGGCCCAAACUCCUACGGGAGGCAGCAGUGGGGGAUAUUGCACAAUGGGGGGAACCCUGAUGCAGCGACGCCGCGUGAGUGAAGAAGUAUCUCGGUACGUAAAGCUCUAUCGGCAGGGAAGAAAAUGACGGUACCUGACUAAGAAGCCCCGGCUAACUACGUGCCAGCAGCCGCGGUAAUACGUAGGGGGCAAGCGUUAUCCGGAUUUACUGGGUGUAAAGGGAGCGUAGACGGCAGUGCAAGUCUGGAGUGAAAGCCCGGGGCUCAACCCCGGUCAUGCUCUGGAAACUGUGCUGCUGGAGUGCAGGAGGGGUAGGCGGAAUUCCUAGUGUAGCGGUGAAAUGCGUAGAUAUUAGGAGGAACACCGGCGGCGAAGGCGGCCUACUGGACUGUGACUGACGUUGAGGCUCGAAAGCGUGGGGAGCAAACAGGAUUAGAUACCCUGGUAGUCCACGCGGUAAACGAUGAUUACUAGGUGUCCGGGAUACUUGAAUCCCGGGUGCCGCAGCAAACGCAUUAAGUAAUCCACCUGGGGAGUACGUUCGCAAGAAUGAAACUCAAAUGAAUUGACGG